rnacentral:rRNA from 1 species
AUGGCGUCCGGGAAGCACUUCAAGUACAUCGUCCUCGGCGGCGGCGUCUCGGGGGGGUACGCGGCGCGGGAGUUCGCCAAGCAGGGCGUGCAGCCGGGGGAGCUCGCCAUCAUCUCCAAGGAGGCCGUGGCUCCUUACGAGCGCCCUGCCCUCAGCAAGGCAUACCUGUUCCCUCAGAAUCCUGCAAGAUUGCCAGGAUUCCAUGUGUGUGUGGGAAGUGGAGGCGAGAGGCUCUUGCCUGAAUGGUACUCAGAGAAAGGCAUCGAGCUUAUCCUGAGCACUGAAAUUGUCAAAGCUGAUCUUGCUUCCAAGACUCUGACUAGUGCAGCUGGAGCAACCUUUACAUAUGAUACCUUGCUAAUUGCUACUGGCUCCUCAGUCAUUAAGCUCUCUGAUUUUGGCACUCAAGGAGCUGAUUCUAACAACAUUCUGUACCUAAGGGAAAUUGACGACGCGGACAAUCUGUAUGCAGCUAUCCAAGCAAAGAAGGGUGGGAAGGCAGUGGUUGUUGGAGGAGGUUACAUUGGCCUUGAACUAAGCGCAGUAUUGAAGAUGAAUGAUCUUGAUGUGACUAUGGUGUUCCCUGAACCUUGGUGCAUGCCUCGUCUCUUCACUGCCGAGAUUGCGGCUUUCUACGAGAGUUACUAUACUAACAAAGGAGUCAAGAUCUUGAAGGGUACAAUUGCUGUUGGUUUUGAUGCUGACGCCAAUGGUGAUGUGACUGCAGUUAAGCUAAAGGACGGCAGUGUGCUCGACGCUGAUAUUGUUGUCGUCGGUGUUGGGGGCAGACCGUUGACUAAUCUCUUCAAAGGCCAAGUUGCCGAGGAGAAAGGUGGAAUCAAGACCGAUGCUUUUUUCGAAACAAGUGUCCCUGGAGUGUAUGCCGUCGGCGACGUGGCCACCUUCCCGAUGAAGAUCUACAACGACGAGAGGCGAGUGGAGCACGUCGACCAUUCCAGGAAGUCCGCGGAGCAGGCUGUGAAGGCAAUCAAGGGGAAAGAGGCGGGGUCUGCCGUGGAGGAGUACGACUACCUGCCCUACUUCUACUCGCGGUCGUUCGACCUGUCGUGGCAGUUCUACGGGGACAACGUCGGCGACGCCAUCCUGUUCGGCGACACCGACCCCGGCUCGGCCAAGCCCAAGUUCGGGUCGUACUGGGUCAAGGACGGCAAGUGCGUGGGCGCGUUCCUGGAGGGCGGGUCGCCGGACGAGAACGCCGCCAUCGCCAAGCUCGCGAGAGCCCAGCCGCCCGCCGCCAGCCCCGACGAGCUCAAGGCCGCCGGCCUCCAGUUCGCCAGCAAGAUCUGA